rnacentral:misc_RNA from 1 species
CGAACAUAUCCGACAUACAACAAACGUCUUCGAGAAGUCAAUCCAACGACGAAGAGGAAAAUAGGGAGAAACGUAGGAGGUCACGCGGCGAGAAAAGACGAAGACGCAGCGAUAGUCAGAAAAGACGAAAACGUCGCAGCAGAUCCAGGAAACGCGACGAGCCAAGGCACAUCGGAGAGAUACGAAAGCUGAAGUACAAAGAAAAGGGGGAAAGUGUUCGGUCACCACGACACAAGAUCUCGAACAGCAGGCUUGAAGCAGAUAUUGGAAACACGUCGGGUUCGCCUAAUCGUAAAAGAAGCAAGACGAAGCGGAGGGAUCCAAGUAACUACAGCGAUUUGUCGGACUGUAGCGACUACGAGGAUAGAAAGGCCAAAGCGAGGAGGAGAAACUCGAUGUGUCCAGAAUCUAGACACGACGGAUUUGGCAAACAAUAUAGGAGAUCUAUAUCGCGGCAUCGCAGCCCUCAAAAACAACAAUCGCAGCAAUUAAAUAUGAAAUAUUCCAACGACGACAACGAAGCAAGUAAAUUGAAUGCCAACGAGGAAGGAAACGACGAAGCAGAU